rnacentral:rRNA from 1 species
AUUUAGCAUAUCAGUAAGCGGAGGAAAAGAAACUAACGAGAAUUCCUCUAGUAACGGCGAGUGAAGCAGGAAUAGCCCAGCACCGAAUCCUCUCUGCCCUGGCGUGGAGCGGGACAUGUGGUGUUAGGGAGGCGAGCAGCGCUGGCGCGGUCGUCUCGGCGCCCAGGUCCUCGUGAUCGUGGCUUUUCGCCCCAUCGAGGGUGUAAGGCCCUUCGUGGCGCCGGACUCGCGUCGCCCGCGAGCCUCCUUGGAGUCGGGUUGCUUGAGAUCGCAGCCCGAAGUGGGUGGUAAACUCCAUCUAAGGCUAAAUACUGGACACGAGUCCGAUAGUAGACAAGUACCGCGAGGGAAAGUUGAAAAGAACUUUGAAGAGAGAGUUCAAUAGUACGUGAAACCGCACAGAGUCAAACGGGUGGAGCCGCAAUGUCGCUCGUCCCGGGGCAUUCAGCCCGCUUCCCGCCGCCGGGCCUCCCUGGAUUCAAGCGGUGCGCGCUCUUCGGAGUGCGUGCCCGCCGGGGACGGAGUAAGAAAUCCGGUGGCGAGACGGGUGCACUUGCUCCGGUCGUCGAGAGCCACGACCGGUUCCUUCGCAGGCAGUGUGGACUCCCUUGGUCGGGCUAACGGCGGGUCGAACGUCGUCCCUAUUGCUGGGCUUCGAUCGCCUGCUCCGACCGGGAGGGAAACUGGCCUGGGGACCGAGGACUGCAUCUGGCUGGCGUCUCCGUUACUCUCGAGCCGUGCGCCCUUGUCGGCCCCCUUCGGGGUGGUCAGGCAAGACGGGCGCGAGGACGCAUCGGGAGGGAGCGGACGGCGUGUCUUUAUGGCCUGACACGGUGCUUGUCGGUGGCGGAUCAGGUCGGUACUCCACCCGACCCGUCUUGAAACACGGACCAAGGAGUCUAGCAUGUGCGCGAGUCGAUGGGACUCGACGAAACCCCACGGCACAAUGAAAGUGAAGGCCCUUCCCUCGUUGGAGGCCUAGGCAGGACGCCGGGACUUUUUUCUGGUUUCGGUCGCACUGCCGGCCCGUCCCGAUCGCCUUUGACGAUGGGGCGGAGCAAGAGCGCACACGCUGGGACCCGAAAGAUGGUGAACUAUGCUUGAGCAGGACGAAGUCAGGGGAAACUCUGAUGGAGGUCCGCAGCGAUUCUGACGUGCAAAUCGAUCGUCAAACUUGAGUAUAGGGGCGAAAGACUAAUCGAACCAUCUAGUAGCUGGUUCCUUC